rnacentral:rRNA from 1 species
AACGAACGCUGGCGGCAGGCCUAACACAUGCAAGUCGAACGCCCUAGCAAUAGGGAGUGGCAGACGGGUGAGUAACACGUGGGAACCUUCCCUAUAGUAUGGAAUAGCCCAGGGAAACUUGGAGUAAUACCGUAUACGCCCGAGAGGGGAAAGAUUUAUCGCUAUAGGAUGGGCCCGCGUAGGAUUAGCUAGUUGGUGAGGUAAUGGCUCACCAAGGCGACGAUCCUUAGCUGGUCUGAGAGGACGACCAGCCACACUGGGACUGAGACACGGCCCAGACUCCUACGGGAGGCAGCAGUGGGGAAUAUUGGACAAUGGGCGCAAGCCUGAUCCAGCCAUGCCGCGUGAGUGAUGAAGGGCCUUAGGGUUGUAAAGCUCUUUUGUCCGGGGACGAUAAUGACGGUACCCGGAGAAUAAGUCCGGCUAACUUCGUG